GUUAUUGGGAGGUUUCUCCAGGUAUCAAUCUUAUCUAGUUUAGCAGAAGAGGUGCUUUGGAAAUGGGAGAUGUUUCUUUAAUGGAACUUUCUUUUGGGAGGGCCAGGAAAACUGCAUCUCCUGCAUUGAAAUUGUAACAUCUAAACCUCAUGUUGAAAAGCAAUCUGGACUACAAACAGCCAGGCCAGAGCAUGGAAGUGAAUGCUCCACCAACAGCCCUGUGUGCCACUGGGAGUAG
rnacentral:lncRNA from 1 species